GUUAAAGAUCAGUAAGGGAGUCUUUUUUCUUCACCUUUGAAAUUGUAGUGCCAAAACUCAGACAAACCAGUGAUGUUCCAAAAGUUGAUGGGAGAAGAACCCAAACAUUUGAUUCUUCCUUCAUUGAUUUUUCUUUCAUUGACUCAGGUCAGAAGACAUUUAAAAGAAGAGGAUCUAUCAUAAACUGGGGCUGUUGCUGGGGUUCUAGCACUUGCCUGGACAAUGUGUCUGCACCAUCAACAUCACCUAUGACUGGACAGCUCUCUGGAGUUUCUCUGCCAAAUAUUUGUGAGAAUGACAAUCUGCUCAAACCUGUUCUGUGUGGUUUCAUCACACUCAGCCCUGCCAGUGGUCUCAGCAUAAUAGAAUCUCCAAGAAAAGAAUAUACUGUGGACAUGUUAUUUAGUGUACAUCAAGCGUGAGAAUGCUGCCCCCAUGCUUCCAAAUACAGCCAUCACGUGGAAUGCUUUCUCUCUCCAAAUGUAAGAGAACUU
rnacentral:lncRNA from 1 species